UUCAAAUAAACCAUUGCUUUAUUCACAUCAAGCCGCGUUUGAGUGUAAUUCUUCAUUAUUCAUCACAGCCUCCUCCUCCCCAGCUUGGUCUGGACGAGCUGUCCUGAAGCCAGGACGAAAGAAAUGGGAAGGCCAGAAGCCUAUCUCCAUUGUGGGAUCCAUUGGUUCCGUUGGAACUCAGAUAUGUGGUUGCCAUCUACUUGUGUAAGACAAAAAUAUUUUCUGUGUUAUUGUUGCUCGUGUCUGCAUAAUUGAGUGUUCACUCUCUUAUUAAGUUAUUUUGUCUUAAAUCUCAACUCCUCAUUGGGGUGAUUUCUGUACAAAUAAUAUUCUGUACAAUUGUGGAUUGUUCUUUGGUUGGAAAUUUGUAGUUUAAAAUUAUUCUGACGUUGGGGUUUUAUUUAACAUUGUGUUUGAGACUUUAUCAGAGUUGUUUUUCUAACACAACUCUUAGUCAAAAUCUCUUAUCUUACUAAUACUUCAUUUAUUUGAUCCAGUAAAUAAUCCAUCCUAUAGCUGAAUCAAUGCAAGAUACCUUCUACUUUUUUGGGGCACAGUGUUGGACAUCAGGUGAGCUUAAUUAAAUGGACCUAAAAGAGAGAAUUGUGUUUCCUAUAGAAUUUCCACCAUCACAUUCUUCCGUUUUAAUAAUAAUGGACAAUUUUCAACCUUUUCACUUUUCUAUAAUGGACAAGCAGGUGAGCUUAAUUAAAUUGGAAAGCUAAACCAAUUGUUAUUGCAUAUAGUAGCAAUUCUAGGACUUGUUAAUUCAAUGAUGGCUUUGGUGGAUACGGGAGUUCGUAUGUGGACUUUGAUGUUGGCUUUGGACCUUGCCCUUUAGGUCGCCAGGUGGUUAUGGGGGUUUUGGAAGCAGUAGUUAGAAGGCUACUGAGGUUGAAUCAUCAAUUGGUUAUUCUAGUCGUUUUGGACCUUACAGUGAUGGGUUUGGUGGGGGAUAUGACACGAGUGGCUUAGGACUUAGGAGGAUAUGGUCAAAAGGUUAAUCCUUUGGUUGUUAUUCAACUUUUUAUUUUUUCUUGUUUCCCUGUGACCAAGUAACGAACCACCAAGGUGGAAUAAAAAGCAAAAUAAGAAACUGACUUUGUAAAUUAAAAACUUUGAUCCAAACUAUUAUACCGUUGCAGUCUUGAAACCAAAUUACUAAAAAGGAUGAUCAAUGUUGAAUUUUUCUCCCACUACUUUUAAUAAUAACUAGUAUAAAUGCAACUUUGUUGUUUUGAUGGUACUUAAAAGUUUGUCAUUUUAACAUGUGGUAAGGAGUAGUAUAUUGGAAACCUCCAAAGCAGGCACUGAGUGAAGUAACAGAACUUGUUUGGGAGCCUUCAAAUAGGUGGUUGUGUGCUGAUGAAGGUAUUUUGAGCUGACAGAGGCAAUGACGGGGAAGUGUCCUCGACAAUCAGAUUCUAUCGAGUGUGGGUACUAUUUGCAAAAGUAUAUACGAGAAAUAGUGCGGAACCCUCAUACUCCUAUUACUGAACUUUUUAAUACAAAAAGUGCCUAUCAACAAGAAGAAAUCGACGAAGU